CCUACAAAGUAGGUGAAGCAGAAUGCACAGCCCUUUUUCUGUACUGAAUGAUGAGUAAGAGCACUGGUAUUUUCCAUGCUUUUUUCCCAGUCAGCCACGGUGAUACAGACUCAGCCAUCAGAGUUCAUCUAAUCAUUUCCUUCCCCAAACCCUUCUGCAUUUCAGCUGUUACUCUCAAUUCUUCUACCACAAGUUACCAUCUUACCACGCUGAAGGAAAAAACCAUCUACCGAGUGCAGAUCUCAGGAUUCACUAAUGCUGGUGAAGGACCUCUGACUCUUUCACAACCUUUCACCACUCCAAAAUAUGAUAAAGGAGAAUUUGAAGGUUUCGUGGCCAUCCUUUGCUUCAGCAUGCUGUUCAUUCUGAUUUUUGCACCUGUCACUUGUUCUCUAGUGCUUAAAAGGCUGAAAAUAUCAUGUUGGCCCAGCGUACCAAGUCCAAGAAACAGCAGUGCGCUUCAAGAUAUGACUAAUUGGAAGCCUGUUUCAAGGUCACUGCUUCAGGCCCUGUCAGACAAUGAUACCACCAGCCUUUAUGUCAUAGAGCAUGAUUCAAAGGCUCCUUUGAAGCUAGACCUCUUUACAGAUGGUGGGGAAGACAGCAAGUCAGGAAGUGACACUGGCCAGUCAGAAGAACCUAGCAAUAACACAGACAUAAGCCAAAGGCACGAAGAAAUCCCUGAAAAAGCAGUUACAAGUGAAGAAGAAGGAAUCAUUUCCAUUACAGUACCACUCCUGAGUGACUACACCAGCAUGGAGUUCAGCCAGAAAGCCCUGAUGAGUCUGACAGUGAAGCUGCCUGCAAGAGCUGCUCGACCUCAUCUGGAAAUGGAACUAAGCAGUAAGCCAGCACAAACUGAGCAUCAGGUUUUGUUUGCUCCCCAAGACUACCUCAAACAAAGCCAGGUAGUAUUUUUGCCAUCUGGACCAACUGUG
rnacentral:lncRNA from 1 species